UGACCUCAACUCAGUCGUGAUUACCCGCUGAAUUUAAGCAUAUAACUAAGCGGAGGAAAAGAAACUAACGAGGAUUUCAUUAGUAAAGGCGAGUGAAAAGGAAAAAGCCCAACGCUGAAUCCAAUAGACAUUUGGCGCUAACCGGAAAUGUCGCAUACAGGUACAACUAUUCGCAACAUGAAUCCAAACAUCCAAAGUCCCCUUGAGCGGGGCCACAAUCCAUAGAAGGUGCUAGACCUGUACGGGUGAAAAAAGUUAUGGUAGGUUAUACCUUGGAGUCGGGUUGUUUGAGAUUGCAGCCCAAAGAGGGUGGUAAACCUCAUCUAAGGCUAAAUACGACCACGAGACCGAUAGCAAACAAGUACCGUGAGGGAAAGUUGCAAAGAACUUUGAAGAGAGAGUUCAAGAGGGCGUGAAACCGUUAAAAUGGAAACGAAUAAAGUUAACGAAACUUAUCAUAUUCAACCGAUCAAUUUAGCAAUCUUAUUUGAUUUAUUAUUCAUUUUUUAUCAAAUGAAUAAAAUGAUUUAUUAAGAUAGAAGUGUUAAAUUUGUCCUGAUUGGUGUAUUUAUCGAUAGUAUGCAUUCGUUUUGCCAUAUUAAUACAAAUUUUCAAUUUACUGGACCAAAUUUUCGCUUGAUAAUUGAAAUUUUAAAUAUGUUGAAAUAUGUCUUAGAUGA
rnacentral:ncRNA from 1 species